UACGUAGGGGGCAAGCGUUGUCCGGAAUCAUUGGGCGUAAAGAGCGUGUAGGCGGCUCGGUAAGUCUGCUGUGAAAGUCCAGGGCUCAACCCUGGGAUGCCGGUGGAUACUGUCGAGCUCGAGUCCGGAAGAGGCGAGUGGAAUUCCUGGUGUAGCGGUGAAAUGCGCAGAUAUCAGGAGGAACACCAAUGGCGAAGGCAGCUCGCUGGGACGGUACUGACGCUGAGACGCGGAAGCGUGGGGAGCAAACAGG
rnacentral:rRNA from 1 species